UGGGGAAUAUUGCACAAUGGGCGCAAGCCUGAUGCAGCCAUGCCGCGUGUGUGAAGAAGGCCUUCGGGUUGUAAGCACUUUCAGCGAGGAGGAAGGUGGUGAGCUUAAUACGCUCAUCAAUUGACGUUACUCGCAGAAGAAGCACCGGCUAACUCCGUGCCAGCAGCCGCGGUAAUACGGAGGGUGCAAGCGUUAAUCGGAAUUACUGGGCGUAAAGCGCACGCAGGCGGAUUUGUUAAGUCAGNUGUGAAAUCCCCGGGCUCAACCUGGGAACUGCAUUUGAAACUGGCAAGCUAGAGUCUCGUAGAGGGGGGUAGAAUUCCAGGUGUAGCGGUGAAAUGCGUAGAGAUCUGGAGGAAUACCGGUGGCGAAGGCGGCCCCCUGGACGAAGACUGACGCUCAGGUGCG
rnacentral:rRNA from 1 species